CGAACUGAACGACCGGGCUUCACAACAAAAACAUGGCCACAUCAGUUGGAUUAUUCCGCAGCCCAACAUCAAUUUCAACCGGUGAUAUUGUUUCUCAUGCAGUCGAAUAUCUGAGAGAUCAUUGCAACAAUGGAUUCCAAAAAUCCAAGCACACCAUCAAAUCCUUUCCCUUGCAGUCAUGAAGA